GAAGUUGGAGAGAAUGGGAGGUAUAGAUCCAUUAUAUUCAGGCACACAGAGGCGAUGAACAUCGGCAUCUCACCUUCUUACUUUCUNAANAAUUUCAUUCCCCAAGCUUUUCUAGGACACCCCCCUUAUUCUUCCUGGNCCAUUAAAUCAGGNGGNANACCGCACCCCUGAUAAGGGUGAGGUCCCNGGUUCAAGACCCGGAUGGCCCACAUAUCUAUGUUGGCCGCUAGCUCAGNUGGUAGACCGCCCGUUUUNAAGCGGGAUGUCAUGGGUCAAGNCCCCUUUCCCCCNCUGAUUCCCCCCUCUUUUAUAUUCCAUAGAAAGGAAAUAUUUUGAGGUGNNGNCUUCAUACUGAACGAAUCUAGAUUCCCAAAGAAACCAUCAUCAUGCUGGACUCAUUCAAUUCAUUUCCUGUUUUCCGAGAACCUUGCACACUGCCUACAUCAUAUUUUCAGANAANACCAUCCUUUAUGACGCNGAGUUAUUAUUUGCGCCGACGCCUUACUAACAAUACUAUUANGCUGAUGCUNCACAUCUGAAGUUAUU
rnacentral:misc_RNA from 1 species